rnacentral:lncRNA from 1 species
UUUAGAAUCCGGAUUCUUAAAUUCUCAAAAUUUCAGAGGCUAGAGCGGACUAGCUUCCAGCAGCUAUUCCAUGUCAAAAUUACACUUUUGCCCGUAGUCCCUCGGAGAAAAUAUGGCAAAUUGUCCUCGUCUUCCUCCAGCCCUGACCCGCAUCUCCUUACCUCUCCCACGACAGGUGCAGCGCGUACGGCCGCGCUCCCCGCCCGCGGCCGUCCCGGAGGCAGGCGCGGCCAGCGGCCGGGGCGGCGGCAUGCGCCGCUGGCCCGGCGCCGCUACUCCCCGCCAUGUGACGAGGCGCCGCAGCCUGAGCUCGGGAGUACCGGGCGGCGCGUCAAGGCCGCCAAGCCGCCGAUCCCCCGCGCGGCGGUGCACCACGUCGACGCGGACGUCCAGCGCCAUGUCGGCGGUGCAGGUCAGCUCCCUGUCCUGGCACGUGCGGGGCUCCCCGCGGUGGCCGGCCAUGAGGCGCGCGCAAGCGCGAGGCCGCAGCGGCGGACUACCGGACGCCGGGAGGGCCGGCGGUUGCUGGCUUCACCGCGUGUGGCCCUGCGGCGAGCACGCCGGGCGGCCGCACGACGGCAACCUGAAGGUGAAGGGAGAAAGAUAAGGAUGAGAAAUGGGGAGAAAUGGACAAGGAAGAAAAAUAAUAAUUUCAAAGGUGGUAUCAAAUUGACAAGAUGGCACAGACCUGAUGCAUGAUAUGCAAAUUAGUUUACGCUGUUCACGAAU